rnacentral:rRNA from 1 species
UGGGGAAUCUUCCGCAAUGGACGAAAGUCUGACGGAGCAACGCCGCGUGAGUGAAGAAGGUUUUCGGAUCGUAAAACUCUGUCUUUUGGGGCGAACGUGAGUAUGGUGAACAAUCAUAGUCAGUGACGGUACCAAAGGAGGAAGCCACGGCUAACUACGUGCCAGCAGCCGCGGUAAUACGUAGGUGGCAAGCGUUGUCCGGAAUUAUUGGGCGUAAAGAGCGCGUAGGCGGGAUAGUCAGUCUGUUGUAAAAGUGCGGGGCUCAACCCCGUGAUGGCAAUGGAAACAGCUAUUCUUGAGUGCAGGAGAGGAAAGUGGAAUUCCCAGUGUAGCGGUGAAAUGCGUAGAUAUUGGGAGGAACACCAGUGGCGAAGGCGACUUUCUGGACUGUGUCUGACGCUGAGGCGCGAAAGCCAGGGGGAGCGAACGGGAUUAGAUACCCCGGUAGUCCUGGCCGUAAACGAUGGGUACUAGGUGUGGGGG